UCCAGGUGGACAUCCACCCUUCCUCCCAGC
rnacentral:piRNA from 1 species